rnacentral:rRNA from 1 species
GUGUAAACUGCUUUCUGAGGGAGAAAACCCCCGACGUGUCGGGGCUGUCGGUACCUUUGGGAAUAAGCAUCGGCUAACUCCGUGCCAGCAGCCGCGGUAAUACGGAGGAUGCGAGCGUUAUCCGGAUUCAUUGGGUUUAAAGGGUGCGUAGGCGGACUGAUAAGUCAGUGGUGAAAACCUGCAGCUUAACUGUAGAACUGCCAUUGAUACUGUCGGACUUGAGUAUGGUCAAGGUAGGCGGAAUGUGUAAUGUAGCGGUGAAAUGCUUAGAUAUUACACAGAACACCGAUUGCGAAGGCAGCUUGCUGGGCCAUUACUGACGCUGAUGCACGAAAGCGUGGGGAGCAAACAGGAUUAGAUACCCUGGUAGUCCACGCCGUAAACGAUGAUCACUCGCUGUUGGCGAUAUACAGUCAGCGGCUAAGCAAAAGCAUUAAGUGAUCCACCUGGGAAGUACGGCCGCAAGGCUGAAACUCAAAGGAAUUGACGGGGGCCCGCACAAGCGGAGGAACAUGUGGUUUAAUUCGAUGAUACGCGAGGAACCUUACCUGGGCUUAAAUGUAGAGUGUAUGAGGUGGAAACACUUCUUCCCGUCGGGGCUCUUUACAAGGUGCUGCAUGGUUGUCGUCAGCUCGUGCCGUGAGGUGUCGGGUUAAGUCCCAUAACGAGCGCAACCCUUAUCGUUAGUUGCCAGCGGGUCAAGCCGGGGACUCUAACGAAACUGCCGGUGUAAACCGAGAGGAAGGUGGGGAUGACGUCAAAUCAGCACGGCCCUUAUGUCCAGGGCUACACACGUGUUACAAUGGCCGGUACAGAGGGCAGCUACCUGGAGACAGGAUGCGAAUCUCGAAAACCGGUCUCAGUUCGGAUCGGAGUCUGCAACUCGACUCCGUGAAGCUGGAUUCGCUAGUAAUCGCGCAUCAGCCAUGGCGCGUGUGAAUACGUUCCCGGGCCUUGUACACACCGCCCGUCAAGCCAUGGAAGCUGGGGGUACCUGAAGUCCGUAACCGCAAGGAGCGGCCUA